rnacentral:rRNA from 1 species
CCCUUAGAUGUUCUGGGCCGCACGCGCGCUACACUGACGGAGGCAGCGAGCGUGUCCUUCGCCGGCAGGUGCGGGCAAUCUUGCGAGUCUCCGUCGUGCUGGGGAUAGAUGGUUGCAAUUGUCGAUCUUGAACGAGGAAUUCCUAGUAAGCGCGAGUCAUCAGCUCGCGCUGAUUACGUCCCUGCCCUUUGUACACACCGCCCGUCGCUACUACAGAGUGCCCGUGUCCAAGAAACGGUCGGACCUGUGCGGCCUCUCCGGGCGACCGGAGGGCCGUUACGGGGAAGACCCUUUAUUUGACGCGGGUCGAUGAAGUAAAAGUCGCAACA